ACAAUUUAUAAACUGGUAUCUAUCACCUUGUUGCUUUGUCUUUAAGUGGUCAUGUGAUUGCCAGUCCAUUUACCAUUUACUGCAUAGCAUGGCAAAAUAUUCCAUGUUUUUGCACAAUAGCUGUUUGUUACUGUAAAAAAACAUUUUAUGCCUAUCAAACUGUGUUAUCAAUUGUCUGUGUCAGAGAUUCAAUUAAAGAAAAAAUGGGUGAGAAAGUAAAAGAAAGAUUUAAUUUAAGAUCCUGUCAGAUAGAAGGACUGGGCUGAAAAUAAAUGAAAUGAACCCAAAAGCCUGCAGAAAUAUUUCCCAUGACUAACCUUCUACAAAUUAGAAGUAAAUCUGGAUCCUUGGAAGUAAAAUACAAAGAAUUCAAUACAAUACUGCACAGCCAAUCUUUCAACCACAACCAUAUUUUUGAACUCGGAAGAAAUGGAGUAUUCAGAGAGAAAUGAAAGAAAGCAAAAGGAAACUGUUUCUCUAUGUUGAAUUGUGUAUUUUCUGUGGGAAAUUCUACAGUGAUGCAGUAAAAGUAGUAAAACCCCAUCUUCAGUUGUCUGGAACACAGUAUCACAGCUUUGCAUUUACUGUAGGACAAUAAUCAUAACUACUAAUGAAACUAAGUACGAGCUUUUGUUGGUCGUUUAACUUUUUCUUUCCUUUUUGCUGAUGGUCUCAGUUUUGUGCAUUUUUGAUUUAUGGCCACUAGAUGGCUGUAAGUCAUCAUAAAUCCUCCUGAGACCCAGAAGAAUAAAAUUUUGUGAUAUUUAGAUUUGACAUUCACAUGCUACAGCAAAUGUUGGAACUGGAAGGAGAGUCUUACUUAGUCAGUUUCAUACUUAGUGCUGUCAGGAGAUGCAGGUGGAGUGGGGUCUGAUCUUACAGCAAGAAGGUGAAAGUUCAGAGAAGGAUAUGUAAACAGUGGACGGCAAAAUAAUGACACAAAGUCUAUUACUUGUAAGCUAGGGCUAUGAAGUUGUGGGCUCAGCAGAUUUAAGCUGUCUUGCUGUAUUCAGUUAAGAGAGCUCUUCAAGAUGUCUCUUAUCAGUAACACCAAGAUCAUUUGUUGUUUUGAUGGACUGCCUAAUCUUAAAGAAUCUGUCUUAUUAGUUUCUAUUAGCUGAAAACAGGAAACAGUAAAUUCAAAUCCUGUGUUAUCUGAGUCAUGCCGUGAACACAGAUAUGCUGAAGAAUGUUUUUGCCUUUCAUGUAUUGUUUAAACUGAAUUCAACUGAUAAAGACAAGACACAUAGACUUUAAUGCUUUUUUCCUCACAAAUGUAAUUCAUUACAGAAGUGAAACUUUAAGUGUGUGUGUGUUUUCUAGAAAUUAGAAUGCCUUAAAAUUUAAAAUCCAAUGUGGCAGUUGAGAAACCACACCAGACAACUUCAAAGCCCUCGCACAAUAUUUCUGGAGUGCCAUUAUUUUGCCCUGGCUCAGACUCCUCAAAGGCUGGUAUGUCUUCCUCUGAGCUUUCACCUUCCUGCUCUAAUGGCUGGCCUUGCUCCACCUCAUCUCCUGACAGCUGUAAGUCUGACUCUCCUUUCACAGUUCUGAGUAAAUUUCCUUUUCUCCUCGUCCUGCCCUUUGCUUCCUGAAAUAUUAAAAUAAGUUCAGGAUGUGAGGCAGUAAGACCUGCUGUCCACUACAAAGGGCACUGGAUAACACUUUUGUUCCGGAAGGGUUAAAAUUGCUAUACACUUCUAAAAUCACACUAAAUCAAAGACGCUCAAAUAGAAGAAACAAACAAAAAAAAUCACUUUGUCUCCUUUGUGGCCAUAAAAUGUGGAAGCUGCAAUUCUUGUACAAGAAAAUCCAUGUGCUUUGUUAGACCAGCUCCCACAAACAUAGCAUUGAUAAGAUCAGAAUGUGAUAUAGAUUGUAUGUGCCUCAGAAGUUGUACUGUGAUUUAUCAUGAGUUGUGCACUUUGUUUUGGCUUAUGUUUUGGAAAAUAGUGAAUCAUCAACAAUGCAGAAGUAAGCUAGUUGCAUUGCAGAAAGAAUCAUUGCUUUCAUGUCAUCGUAUUCAUCACACAAUGAGAGACAGCAGGGGUUUCUCACUGUCCUUUAAACAUGCACAUGACUCGAUACUGCUGACUCCUAAAAAAAAAAACAAUUGCUCAUCGGCUUUCCCCAUCUUAUCAAAAGAAAAAAAAAAACAUAACAAUCUCUUGUUCCUUUUUUGCUCCUCAUAAUUUCAUUUAACUAAAAUGUAUCCAUGUAACAAGUCUGGGCAUGUUGUUUACAGCUCUGUUACUUGACCAUUCCCAGUCAUAAACACCGCAUGCAUCAUUUUUUCUGAGUGAUUGAGUUUGAUGACGCAUACCUGAACCAAAGCCCAUCCUGUUUUUGCUGCCAUGAAACUUUCCCCUGUCAAAGUACAAACGGAGAAAGUGAAACCACAUUUACUGACCACAAGCAGAAUUUAGUUGCAGGUGGGAAUUUUUAAAAAGCGCAAAUAGUAAACAGCUCAUCACAACAUUUUUAGAGUUCCACUGCUAAAUUUUGCAGUGACAUUCUGUUAUAAGAUCAGACUUAAGAUAAGUUGUUGAUAAGUCAACAAUAUGUGGUUGAAUUAUGUUGCAACAGUUCUUUCUUUUAUAUUCAGUUUACUAUUUUUAUCUCUGGUUAUGAUGCUUGCGUCAGUUCCAAACAAAUAUUUUUAAGGAUAAACUGUAACAGAGGCAUAUUGUCAUGUUGGUACACAUCUUUACCCUUCCAUUUUAAUAUUAGUGGAGAAAUACACAUAGAAAAAAAUCAGCAAAGUAAUGAUUUUCAGUGUUGUAAUAACCACGAAAAUAUCCUAAAAUUUUCACUUUAACAGUCUCUUCAUGAAUAAGGAAGUGAAGAACACAUUUCAACAUAUAUUUAUGUCAAAGUUUCUCUCCUUCCUUUUCUCCCAGCUGUCAGUCUUGUUCCUGUCUGUGUGACUUGUGGUGAGUAGGAGAAAAGGGCCAGUCCCUUUAGAGAUAUAGAUAUAAUCUGGCUGUGUCUCCCUUCAGUAGCAUACAGGGGAAAGUACCAUUUGGAUACUUCAGAUACUUAGGGCACACACUGAGCUCAGGAAGCGAAGUAACACAUCAGUGCACAGCAGAGGAAACUCAGGACUUGUACAGUCGUCGUUUCUUAACAUCUAUCUUCCUGCGUUCCCCGGGCUAAGAGCGCUCCGAACCCUGCUGUUUGACUGACGAUGCCGGAGCCUACCCAGAAUUUACUGAUCCGUAUCCUCGUGUUGUGGAACACCGUAAUCACCAUAUUCCUAAUUGUGUUCUUCGUUCUAUACUUCACAGCAGGACAUAAAGGCUUGGAAAAUAGUGCUGUAGAAUCAUCCAAAAUUUCCUCCACGGAAAAGAGAUGGACAACCACCGCCCCCUCUAGCCUCUCCUCAAUUACAGGAAAAAUGCUCAGCUUUAAGUUUGCGGAAGGUGGAAGUGAUAUAACAUGGAGUCCAAUUCGUUCAGAUAAAACCCUGAUUUCAAAAGUCAACAAUGGCCUGAGCCUGAACAUGGAUGGAUACUAUUUCCUAAAUCUUCAGGUUGCAGCUGGUCCAGACUGUUCCAUAACAGAUCAAUCCAGUGUGAGCCUGGUGUACAUACCGAAGGACAAAGACCCCAAAAUUCUUCUAAAGGGCUCAAUUAACAAAGAAACAAACACCACAGGUAUUCUCAGCAAGGUAGUGGAGUGCGGUGCUGGAGAGAGGCUGAUAUUCAACAUUAGUGAGCCAUUACUCAGUUGUGUUGAUAAAAAUGAUAGUAAAACUCACCUGGAUAUCAUCUUCAUGCCACGGCUUUAGAUGUAAGUUCAUUAUUUUUAGCAUAGUGCACGACACCUUUCCAGCUUUGGAACCCACACUGAAGCAAACCUAGUCUGAAUCUUGUUGGGUGUAUUUGUUCACUUUGGAUGGAUCACACUUUGAUUUUGGCCAGUUGAUCUCCAGAUCAGCAAUUUACCUAAUAAUUUUUGUAAAAGAUGCAUAAAAAAGGGGAAUUCAAUAAGAGGUUGGAUGAAAACCUCGUCUCUUUUUACAUUCCGGUCUAGAGCUCGCCUUAAACAGGGUUUAUAAUGAUCCAAUGAUGUUCAGUUUUGUAAAGUAGAUAUAGCAGACCGGGUAUUGGUCUCAGGUUGUAUCAUCACUACAAAAUCACACUUGAAAACAGCGCAAUGUAUGUAAUGUAUUGUGUAUUUAAUGGAUUAGAACCAAAGCUGGAUUGUUUUCAUUGUUCUCAAAUAGCUGUUUUAAACAGAAACUUUGAAGCGGGUUGUUCAGAAUUGACAGAUCUCACUUGUUGAAACGAUAUUUCUUUGUUAGAGCUUUGCAUGUUUAAAAUAUCUAGUAGUUGAUUUCAAGAAUUUAUUGUGCUGAAGUGUCACAUUUUUCAGCAGGAGAUUGCUUUUGAUGUUUGCACAGAUUAUACUUUCUAAUUUCUGAUUCAUUUCUUGUUUUGUUAACAUUGUAUGAAUUCUGUAUUUAAGUUUAUUUAUUUAUUUCUCGCAACAAAAACCAUGUGCAGCAUAUGAUUUAGACACAUAAUGGAUGUAACAAAAAAACCCCAUGGCAGGUCAGCUAAUAAUCUAUGAAUGUUUAUUUUCUCAGUGAUAAUGUUUCACAGGGUGUACCAGUCACAAACUGGUAGUGAGUCACUGGAAUCUAUGUAGAGAAUUGACUUUGUUUGUUAAAAGAAUGUAAUUCAUAUUUGGAAAGAACAAAGGUGUAGUUUUGAUUUACUUGACCAAUAACAUACUUUAGUAUUUCAUCUCUUUAGUCUAAAGUUAAGUGUGAAAUGACUUGAUAAGCUCCAGACAUCCUUGACUACAUGUACUAUACAUUGUGACACGUGAAAACACAAGUCGCAGUGGUUGUUGCGGUAAGUUUCAUGUGUUUGAGAUUUGAAAGAAAUACUGGGUUUUUUCACUUUUUGUAUUUUUUUUGAUGUUUUAGUGGAAGAGGAAGCUGCUUAUGCAUUUGAAAAGAUUUCUGUGAGACCUGCUAAAUGUGUGUGUUUAAAUUUGACUUUAACCAUUGUUAUGAAAAAAAUAAGAGAACGUCUUAGUUAAAAAUGUUUACUGUCUUUAUUGUAUUUGAUGUGACUGUAAAACAAAAACAAACUCAAUAUGAAUCAAAGGACACGAUAACAGUGAUUAAGGGCUUUUGGGUUUGAGUCAUUUAUGAGACCCUACAUAUGAAAGUGAGAGGUCAUGAGUUAACAUUGGAUUACCACAUAAUCACUAAUAGAAAGAUACAGCGGGACCCUCCCUGUCUAUAUGCUGUCGAAGAAUAUGUCCUCUUGACUCUUGACAAAGCAAACAGAAGAAAUGCUUCUCAUACAAAGCAUUCAAAGUCACAUCCAGUGACCUAAAUCGCAGUGACAGAGAUACAGUAAAGCAGCAAAAAAGGUCACUGGAACAUUAGUCAUCACAGUCAAGAGGCACAUUUUCCAGCUUUCAUUUGAAAACUUUUGUUUUCCAAACCUCAGCCACAAACGAGUCCCAUAUCUCUCAGUGCUCUGUCAAUUAGUUGUUGCUACCACAGCUUUCGAUUGCAGUGAAGAGGUCCAGGAUGUAAAAAUUGAUAGCAGACAUAGCAAACUACCACCCACUCUGUCUCUUUUAUUAGAGGCCUUAGAUGCAUUUGCAUGGGUUGAUUUUGGUUGCUCCCUUCCUACUGCUUUCCACUGCCCAAUGUCAAGAUAAUAAAUGGUGUAUCCACACAGAGAAAGUGUAUAACCUCUACACAUCAUUUUUGCCCAGACAUCAUGGAGAGAACGUCGACAUUAUAAACAUGUUUACAGCAUGCACUUUUUGAAUAACAAUCUUCCAGUUUCUUCUUGUAACCCUUAUCAAUAUGCCACCUCUUACAAUAAAAGAUUUGUCAGACUAGAAAAUGUCUGAAAUGAGUAAGCUUCUAAAUCCAGUCACAGCGGGUUUUUUUAAUCUUGAAUCAAAAUGAUAGUGAUGUCAAAUCUUUAAAAGUUCAAAUAUUUCUCACUCACAUAUUUUUCCUCCAGCCUGUAGUGUUAAAUAGCCAUGUAGAGUAUUGUGUGUGGGUUACCCAGUUUUGGAUAUAUACACUACUGUGCUACAAGAGUGCUAUGCGCAGACACAAAUUUCUGAUAUUUAGCAAAAGACUAAAACAAUACAAGAAUUUUUCUUGUUAAAAUUCAAGUACAGAUCUCUUGGAUGGUUACCGCCGCACAACAGGCAUCAUUAUUUAACAGCUAAUCCAAUUAAAAUUCUACUAAAGACAACAAUAACACAAAUACAGUGGAAAGGUCACGUUUAAUAGCAGAGGUGAAGCCUAACCCACACACACAGGUCAGUUACAGCUGUCUGUGUCCAACAGCUGAGCAGCUCCUGUAUCCACCAUAAAGCUGUUAUUAAUUAACACUAUCCACACAGUUCUAGACCAUUUUUGAAUCAAGCUGUAAAUAUGGUGUUUUAAAGCUGCAAAGUUGGGUAUUUUUGAUCUGAUCAACUGCAGAUUUUUGAUCUGAUCAUCUGCAGAGGAAUGGUUUAUUUAAAGAGUUUCGUGAGGUUUCAGAACUCAUCAUUGUACAGAAACAGCAUAAUUGAAGGUUAUGAAUGAAUCAUAUCUAUCUGAUGGAUUCCAAUUGGAAAGAACAUGAUUUGUUUGCAUAAAGGGACAGUCCUCUUCACACACACUUCAUACACUAAGGUUAAUUAUGGAGUUCCGCAGGGUUCCAUGCUAGGAUCAGUUCUGUUGACUUUAUACAGCCACUAUCAUUAAAAAGCAAAGGGUACAUUUUCACUGCUAUCCAGAUGACACCCAACUUUAUCUGCCCGUGAAGCCAGAUAACACUCACCAAUUAGUUAAUUGCAAGAACAACUUAAAGACAAAAAGACCUGGAUGAUCUCUUAUUUCCUGCUUCUAAAUUACGGCAACUGGUGUCUAACUGGAUACUUAGAAUGGCAUUACCUUGGCCUCCAGUAAAACUGGGAGAAAUUUUAGAGUCAUUUUACAUCCUUCAGUGUGUAUAUUGAGCUAAUAUGUAGGACUGUUUUCUUGCAUUUGUGCAAUAUCUUUACAAUUAGAAACAUCUAAUUUUAGAGUGAUGUUAAAAAACUAGUUCAUGCAUUUAUUACUUCUUGGCUGAACUACUGUAAUUUGAUAGGACGGGGCUCUCCUAAAAUCUCCCUGAAAAGCCUUCAGUUGAUCCAAAAUGCUGCAGUAAAAGUACUGACAGGGACUACAAAGAGAGAGCAUGUUUCUCCAUUAUUGGCUUUUCUUCAUUCAUUCUCCUCAUAUACCAGUUCUAGAAUAAUCAGGCCCUGUCUUACCUUAAAGACCUCAUAGUACCAUAUCACUCCAAUUGAGCACUUCAGUCUCAGACUGUUGGCUGACUUGUGGUUGCUAGGAUAUUUAAAAGAAGAAUGGGAGGAAGAGCUUACAACUUUCAGGCCUCUCUUCUGUGAAACCAGCUCCCACAUUGAAUUUUAGCAACAUUUUAAGACUAUUUUCAAGACUGAGGUUAAAACUUUCCUUUUUGAUAAAACCUAUAGUUAGGGCUGGAUCAGGUGAUCCUGGGUUCGUCCUCAAUUAUGUUGCAAUAGGCCUAGGUUCCUGGGUCAUUCUCAUGAUGCAGUGUUACUUCAGCUCUUUUGUCCUGUCUCCCUGCCCCAACCUCCAGUCCCUGACCCUCCAUGAGCCUGGUUCUGCCUGAGGUUUCUUCCUGUUAAAAGGGAGUUUGUCAUUCUCACUGUUGCCAGGUGCUCAAAGCUGGUCCUUUGAUUGUUGGUUUAUUUGAAGAGUUUUAGUCAGGCUUCAGAACUCUGUACAGACACAG